rnacentral:rRNA from 1 species
GAUGAACGCUAGCGGCAGGCCUAACACAUGCAAGUCGAGGGGUAGAGGCUUUCGGGCCUUGAGACCGGCGCACGGGUGCGUAACGCGUAUGCAAUCUGCCUUGUACUGAGGGAUAGCCCAGAGAAAUUUGGAUUAACACCUCAUAGUAUUUUAGUGUGGCAUCACAUUAUUAUUAAAGGUUACGGUACAAGAUGAGCAUGCGUACCAUUAGCUAGCUGGUAUGGUAACGGCAUACCAAGGCUACGAUGGGUAGGGGUCCUGAGAGGGAGAUCCCCCACACUGGUACUGAGACACGGACCAGACUCCUACGGGAGGCAGCAGUGAGGAAUAUUGGUCAAUGGUCGCAAGACUGAACCAGCCAUGCCGCGUGCAGGAUGAAGCAUCUAUGGUGUGUAAACUGCUUUUGUACGGGAAGAAACACCGCUACGUGUAGCGGCUUGACGGUACCGUAAGAAUAAGGAUCGGCUAACUCCGUGCCAGCCGCCGCGGUAACAC